rnacentral:rRNA from 1 species
UACGGGGGGGGCAAGCGUUGUUCGGAAUUACUGGGCGUAAAGGGCGCGUAGGCGGCGCGGAUAGUCGGCGGUGAAAGCCCGGAGCUCAACUCCGGGUCGGCCGUCGAUACUUCCGGGCUUGAGCACUGUAGAGGCAGAUGGAAUUCCGGGUGUAGCGGUGGAAUGCGUAGAGAUCCGGAAGAACACCGGUGGCGAAGGCGGUCUGCUGGGCAGUUGCUGACGCUGAUGCGCGACAGCGUGGGGAGCAAACGGG